AGGCUUUAAUCUUUUAGAAUUUCUUUUGUUCUUUUCUUUUAUCUAAAAAAAAACUUAUAAAAAUUGAAAUUUUUUAUAUUUACUCUAAGAUAUAAUUGUAGAAUUUAUAUUUGGACAUCAUUUAUUAUGACUUAAAAUUCAACCCUUAGAUCCAGAAAUUGAACGAACCCUUAGAGCCAACAAACCUAAAAUCAUAGACCA
rnacentral:lncRNA from 1 species